AGCCCGCUCGCCGGAAGACCAAGGGUUCCUGUCCAACGUUAAUCGGGGCAGGGUGAGUCGACCCCUAAGGCGAGGCCGAAAGGCGUAGUCGAUGGGAAACAGGUUAAUAUUCCUGUACUUGGUGUUACUGCGAAGGGGGGACGGAGAAGGCUAUGUUGGCCGGGCGACGGUUGUCCCGGUUUAAGCGUGUAGGCUGGUUUUCCAGGCAAAUCCGGAAAACCAAGGCUGAGGCGUGAUGACGAGGCACUACGGUGCUGAAGCGACAAAUGCCCUGCUUCCAGGAAAAGCCUCUAAGCAUCAGGUAACAUCAAAUCGUACCCCAAACCGACACAGGUGGUCAGGUAGAGAAUACCAAGGCGCUUGAGAGAACUCGGGUGAAGGAACUAGGCAAAAUGGUGCCGUAACUUCGGGAGAAGGCACGCUGAUAUGUAGGUGAAGCGACUUGCUCGUGGAGCUGAAAUCAGUCGAAGAUACCAGCUGGCUGCAACUGUUUAUUAAAAACACAGCACUGUGCAAACACGAAAGUGGACGUAUACGGUGUGACGCCUGCCCGGUGCCGGAAGGUUAAUUGAUGGGGUUAGCGGCAACGCGAAGCUCUUGAUCGAAGCCCCGGUAAACGGCGGCCGUAACUAUAACGGUCCUAAGGUAGCGAAAUUCCUUGUCGGGUAAGUUCCGACCUGCACGAAUGGCGUAAUGAUGGCCAGGCUGUCUCCACCCGAGACUCAGUGAAAUUGAACUCGCUGUGAAGAUGCAGUGUACCCGCGGCAAGACGGAAAGACCCCGUGAACCUUUACUAUAGCUUGACACUGAACAUUGAGCCUUGAUGUGUAGGAUAGGUGGGAGGCUUUGAAGUGUGGACGCCAGUCUGCAUGGAGCCGACCUUGAAAUACCACCCUUUAAUGUUUGAUGUUCUAACGUUGGCCCGUAAUCCGGGUUGCGGACAGUGUCUGGUGGGUAGUUUGACUGGGGCGGUCUCCUCCUAAAGAGUAACGGAGGAGCACGAAGGUUGGCUAAUCCUGGUCGGACAUCAGGAGGUUAGUGCAAUGGCAUAAGCCAGCUUGACUGCGAGCGUGACGGCGCGAGCAGGUGCGAAAGCAGGUCAUAGUGAUCCGGUGGUUCUGAAUGGAAGGGCCAUCGCUCAACGGAUAAAAGGUACUCCGGGGAUAACAGGCUGAUACCGCCCAAGAGUUCAUAUCGACGGCGGUGUUUGGCACCUCGAUGUCGGCUCAUCACAUCCUGGGGCUGAAGUAGGUCCCAAGGGUAUGGCUGUUCGCCAUUUAAAGUGGUACGCGAGCUGGGUUUAGAACGUCGUGAGACAGUUCGGUCCCUAUCUGCCGUGGGCGCUGGAGAACUGAGGGGGGCUGCUCCUAGUACGAGAGGACCGGAGUGGACGCAUCACUGGUGUUCGGGUUGUCAUGCCAAUGGCACUGCCCGGUAGCUAAAUGCGGAAGAGAUAAGUGCUGAAAGCAUCUAAGCACGAAACUUGCCCCGAGAUGAGUUCUCCCUGACUCCUUGAGGGUCCUGAAGGAACGUUGAAGACGACGACGUUGAUAGGCCGGGUGUGUAAGCGCAGCGAUGCGUUGAGCUAACCGGUACUAAUGAACCGUGAGGCUUAACCUU
rnacentral:rRNA from 1 species